GACAGAGGGUGCAAACGUUGUUCGGAAUUACUGGGCGUAAAGGGCGCGUAGGCGGCUCGCGAGGUCGGGGGUGAAAUCCCGCGGCUCAAGCGCGGAAGGGCCUCCGAUACCGGCGGGCUGGAGGGGGGUAGGGGUGCGCGGAACUUCUGGUGGAGCGGUGAAAUGCGUUGAUAUCAGAAGGAACGCCCGUGGCGAAAGCGAGCUCCUGGAUGUCUUCUGACGCUGAGACGCGAAAGCUAGGGUAGCGAACGGG
rnacentral:rRNA from 1 species